CUCUUCUAGUAUAACUAUUACAAUUGACUUCCAAUCUCUAGAGUCCGGCUACUCAUCCCGGAGAAGAGCA
rnacentral:tRNA from 1 species